UACAGAGGGUGCAAGCGUUAAUCGGAAUGACUGGGCGUAAAGCGCAUGUAGGUGGAAGAACAAGUUUGAUGUGAAAGCCCCAGGCUUAACCUGGGAACGGCGUUGAAGACUGUUUUUCUGGAGUUGGACAGAGGGCCGUGGAAUUUCCGGUGUAGCGGUGAAAUGCGUAGAGAUCCGGAAGAACACCGGAGGCGAAGGCGGCUUGCUGGGCUCGGUCUGACGCUGAGGCGCGAAAGCGUGGGGAGCGAACAGG
rnacentral:rRNA from 1 species